CCUACGCGAGGCAGCAGUAGGGAAUAUUGCUCAAUGGGGGAGACCCUGAAGCAGCAACGCCGCGUGGAGGAUGAAGGUUUUCGGAUUGUCAACUCCUUUUUUUAGAGAAGAUAAUGACGGUAUCUAACGAAUAAGCACCGGCUAACUCCGUGCCAGCAGCCGCGGUAAUACGGAGGGUGCAAGCGUUACUCGGAAUCACUGGGCGUAAAGAGCGCGUAGGCGGGAUAGCAAGUCAGAUGUGAAAUCCUAUGGCUUAACCAUAGAACUGCAUGUGAAACUGUUAUUCUAGAGUAUGGGAGAGGUAGGUGGAAUUCUUGGUGUAGGGGUAAAAUCCGUAGAGAUCAAGAGGAAUACUCAUUGCGAAGGCGACCUGCUAGAACAUAACUGACGCUGAUGCGCGAAAGCGUGGGGAGCAAACAGGAUUAGAUACCCCAGUAGUC
rnacentral:rRNA from 1 species